AUAAAGUUUUAUUCUCGCUUAAGGAAUUGUUACAAUAAUGAUUUAUAUGUAAUUUGUUAAUGAUUUAAAAGUUAUAUAAACAGUACUUAAUAUUGGACAAUUAAGGUGAUUUAGAUCCAGUGAAUAUUAUACUGCUGGUUAAAUUCGUGCCAGCCGCCGCGGUUAAACGAUGGGCAGAAAUAAUUUAGUUUUAAUUAGAGUUAUUUUGUUAUAUUAAUUUAUUAUGUAUAAUUUGGGGUGAAAUCUGAUUAUUUUGUAUGUUAGAAUUAAAAGGCUUGUAAAGCUUAGUAAAAGACUAGGAUUAGAUACCCUAUUAUGAAAGUUGUAUAGGUUGAUUAGGAUAUUAUAAGAUAUGGCCUUUAAAUUCAAAGAAUUUGGCGGUAAUUUAAUCUAUUUAGAGGAAUCUGUUCCGUGAUCGAUAAUACACGAGAGUUACUACUUAGGUUAUUAGUUUAUAUACCGUCGUCAUCAGGUUAUUUUUAAUUAAAGUUUUCUUAUUUUAUGAUUGUAAUUUAUGUCAGAUCAAGGUGUAGCUUAUACUUAAGAGGAAAUGGAUUACAUUAAGGUUACUUAAACGGAUUGUUAUGGUAAAUGUAACAUGAAGGUGGAUUUAUUAGUAAAUUUAUGAUAAAUUGAUAUUAGUUCUAAAUUGUGCACAUAUCGCCCGUCGCUCUCGUGAUUUGAUGAGAUAAGUCGUAACAUAGUAGAUGUACUGGAAAGUGUAUCUGGAAUUUC
rnacentral:ncRNA from 1 species